UUAUGGACAAUUUAUAGACUCCGGUAAUCGUAACUUCCCACAAUACAAAGAUGUUAUCUGUAGAUAUGCCUAAAAUGCUUUUAAUGUGAUUGUUACCAUCUGCUGAGAUAGAUUGAUGCUGAAUUGCUGGACACUGCAGGGCCCAACCUUAAAGUCCUGAGCACAAUGUCUGUGGGAUUCGAUCACAUCUCUCUGGACGAGAUAAAGAGGAGGGGAAUCCGUCUGGGUCACACGCCGGAUGUCCUGACUGAUGCGGUGGCAGAACUCACCAUAGCCCUGCUGCUGACCACCUCCCGGCGUCUUAUAGAGGCGACCCAUGAGGCCAAAACGUGGGUGACACUGCCUGUACUCCUUCCCUGCCCUUUCUUAAGUAACACAACCGGUAAUCCCAGUAAGGACGGCGUGUUGUCAUACUGGGCCCGUGUUUCUAGUUGUAUUGAUGAUCCCAGGCUGGAUCUCAAAGUCAUUCAUUGG